GGGGAAGUGCGGGCGAGUGGAGGCGGUAAUACGAAGGGGGCAAGGGUGAUUCGGAAUGACUGGUCGUAAGGGGGGUGGAGGCGGUAUGUGAAGCUUGCUGUUAAAUUCUCCGGCCUAACUGGAGACAUGCAGUGAGAACUGGCGUACUAGAGGGUGAGAGAGAGAAGUGGAAGUUCCGGAGUAGCGGUAAAAUGCGUAGAUCUCGGAAGGAACACCGAUGGCGAAGGCAGCUUCUUGGCUCAUACCUGACGCUGAAACACGAAAGCGUGGGGAGCAAACAGGAUUAGAUACCCAGUAGUC
rnacentral:rRNA from 1 species